rnacentral:rRNA from 1 species
UACGGAGGGGGCUAGCGUUGUUCGGAAUUACUGGGCGUAAAGGGUGUGUAGGCUGUCUAAUAAGUUAGAUGUGAAAUCCUAGGGCUUAACCCUAGAACUGCAUCUAAAACUAUCAGACUUGAGUUAAGGAGAGGGUAACGGAAUUCCUAGUGUAGAGGUGAAAUUCGUAGAUAUUAGGAGGAACAUCAAAGGCGAAGGCAGUUACCUGGCCUUGUACUGACGCUGAGACACGAAAGCGUGGGGAGCAAACAGG